rnacentral:lncRNA from 1 species
CCGCCCCGCGCGCCCGGCCCCGUCCUUAAGCGAGUUGCCGCGCGUUCCCCCACGGCCACCAGGGGGCGGCAGCGGCGCGCCUCUCCCAGGCAGCCCCGCGCCCCUUCCGCCUCCCACGGAGUUUGCAAAACAGACUUUUCCGGUUUUCGACGAGGGCAGGGGGAGGGGGAGAGGCUGAGAUUGAAACCAAGAGAUGCUGAAUUUUGUGGCAAAAGAGACAGGCCUCUGGGUGAGGGAGGUCUGGCAGCCGACAAGGCCAGGGGGCAGUGGUCCCGGCCCCGCCGCUUGGGGAGCCUCCGUUUGCCCUCUGCUUCCAGGUGGGGAAACUGAGGCCAUGGCCCAGGUGCUUUAGCUGCCGCGGGGCUGGCUGCUCCGCAAAUGCUCCUCUCUUGGAGUUGCCACCUCCUCGCGUUUGCUCAAGCGUUUGCUGACGCUGCCAUCCGGCGUGCCCUCCCUUGAAGAUCGCUCUCCGCAUCCUUUCGGCUGGGCUCCAGCCCUUGGAGGAGGCCUGGACAGCGGCAGGGCCAAGUGGACAGACAGUAGGGAUGCAGGGUCAGCGGCCUCCCGAGAAGGACCGGAAUGACCUCAGCCCUGGGGCUCAGAGCUCCCCCCUCAAUUCCAGAUGCCCCCCCCCCCCGACCCCCCUCACAGCGGAGCCUCCGGGGAGCUAAAUACCCCCAUGCAGGCUGUCUUGGGCCCACUAAGUAGCACAGGACUCUGUUUGGUGGCCCCUGGAGUUGUUCGAAAACGUACCUCCAGGCACAGCCCUCUGGUCAAGGGGUUGGAGUUAGGCCUUCACUGAGCAGGGCUUGGGGUGCUGCUGAAGUGAGUGGGGAAAAUGGGCACCCUGUUUCUACUGGGAGAAGACUGAGCCUGCCUGGAGAGAAGCUGCAGGGAGGACACCAGUACAGAGAAAAGGAGCCCUAGUCCCUGGAUGCAGCCAUGCCUGAAGCCCACCACCUGGGAUUUUCUUUUUCAUCAGAUUCCUUUUUGUUGAAGCCACUUUGAGUUCUGUUUCUGCUGCCAGGAAAUGACCCACAGGAGUUCCUCUCUGGGCUUCCGCUUGCCCAUAUGUAAAAGAAAAAGUUCAGAGCACUGGUUGGGUCCCUACCUCAUGGGUUGAGCAGUCCUGCUUAGCAGAGCUCUGGGCCAGUGAUACUGAGCUCCUGCUGUGUACUCAGUAUUUGGGGCUCCUCUGAGCGGCAGUCCCUCAGCUGCUCCCCACAGCUCCAGGAGUUCAGACUGUGGUAGUCUCCGUUUCACAGCUUCGUUCAUUCAUUGAUUCGGAAGGUCAGCGUUGAGCACCUACUGUAUACCAAGCCCAGUCCCACACAGGGGGCGCUGUCAUGGAGCCGGAGAGCCGGGCCUGGCGUGAGCUGUUCACAGAUGCUUCCUGCUGCGGCUCAGCCUGCGCGGGUGCCGCAGCCCGGGUGGCAGUAGGGUCCCAGUCUGGCGGCCUCUCCAGAGCCCUCGCCGCCCCCCUCCCACACCCCCAUCUCUAGCUCUCCUGGUCUGACUCCUCUUCACCCCAGCUCCCACCAAGAAGUGGGAAGCAUGUCUCCAUCCGGGAGGCAGGCUGCCUCAGUUUAUCUCCCCGGAUACCUUCCCCCUCUGUCUGUCCAGCAGCCUCUGGGUUUGGUCAGAAAGAGCUGUUUUCUCUGCCUCUGCCCCCGCCCCUGAGCCAGUGCACUGCAGGGCAUGACACGGGCACGCCUGCCCCACUUCUGCACCCUCGCCUGUCCCUUCUCUUUUUUUAAAAGAUAUAUUCACUUACCAUGCAAUUCACCCCUUUACAGUAAACAAUUCGGUGGCAUUUAGUGCAUUCAUCUUGUGCAUGUUGUGCAACCAUCUCUACCUAGUUCUGGAACAUUUCCAUCAUCCCCCUCCCCGCCCGCCUCCCCAGCCCCGGCACCCACCCACGUGCUUCUGUCUGUGCUUUGCCUGUUCUGGACGUUUCGUAUAAAUGGGAUCGUGCGCCAUGUGGCCUUUGUGUCUGUUCUGCCAGGGACACUUGGGUUGCCACCCCCUUGGCGAGUGUCAGCCGUGCUGCCGUGAGCACCGUGUACAGGUUUUGGCGUGCACGCCUGUUUUCAGAUCUCCAGGUCUGGCCCCAGGAGAGGGACUGCCGGUCACGGGGUCGUCCUGGGUUCACCUGACUGAGUUGCCGCCAGACAGUGUUCCGCUUGGCCGCACACUGGGCGGCGGCUGGGCAGGGGCGUGGGUUCCAGUCCCCGCGUCCUCAUCGGCGCCUCUGUCUGCCCUCUUGGGUGGGCGGCCUGCCGCGUGGGCGGGGCCCUGGUCUCACUGGUCCCCUGAACUUCGCAGGCGCCUAUGGGCCACGCGUCCCUUUGCAGAAAUGUCCACUCAAACCCUUUGCUUGGUUUUCAUCGGGUUAUGUCUCUUUCCGUUAUUGAUUCUUUAUCUGUGCUGCACGUGAAUCCCUUGUCAGAUCAUGAUUUGCAAGUAUUUCCUCCCACUCCGCGGGCUGUCUUUGCACUUGUGAGCGUCCUUGGAGGAAGAAAUUUUAACCUUGAUGGGGUCCCAUCCCUGUAUUUCCUUUCCCUCGCUGUGCCUGAGGUCCCAUCUGAGCACCCUCCUCUCCAGUGCCCCCUUGCGCC